CCUACGGGAGGCAGCAGUGAGGAAUAUUGGUCAAUGGCCGAGAGGCUGAACCAGCCAAGUCGCGUGAGGGAAGAAUGUCCUAUGGAUUGUAAACCUCUUUUGUCAGGGAGCAAAGUCACCCACGUGUGGGUGUUGGAGAGUACCUGAAGAAAAAGCAUCGGCUAACUCCGUGCCAGCAGCCGCGGUAAUACGGAGGAUGCGAGCGUUAUCCGGAUUUAUUGGGUUUAAAGGGUGCGCAGGCGGAUUUUUAAGUCAGCGGUCAAAUCGUGGGGCUCAACCCCAUCCAGCCGUUGAAACUGGGGAUCUAGAGUGUGCGAGAGGUAUGCGGAAUGCGUGGUGUAGCGGUGAAAUGCAUAGAUAUCACGCAGAACCCCGAUUGCGAAGGCAGCAUACCGGUGCACAACUGACGCUCAGGCACGAAAGCGUGGGUAUCGAACAGGAUUAGAUACCCGUGUAGUC
rnacentral:rRNA from 1 species